UACAAUGCAAGGAAGAGGAGUUUCCCACCGGAAAACCUCCCAGAGAGGGCGCGGCUGGUGUGAGCGUCUGUGGUUUUGGUGGGAUUGUCGCCUUGGAGCAGCCGGGCUGAAGCAGUAAGCCCGGACGGCUAACUCCCGUUAUGGAGUUUUGAGUGCCCGGCAGGCCGGGAAUUCAGGUGGUACCGCGGAACGAGUUCGUUGCGCCCUGAGG
rfam:Firmicutes bacterium CAG:137_57_8 Ley3_66761_scaffold_15619, whole genome shotgun sequence.